CUCAUUUUCUGCAGUAUUGAUACAUGGGUACCAGCUGUGCUUUCUGCUCUCUCUCCUCUCCAACAGUGAGUUGACACACACACACACACACACACACACACACACACACACACACACCGCUAUUUAUCUUUUAAUAAAAAUCUAAAAUUUGAUGCCUUCAAUGUUGUGUCAAUUUUCGCCUGUGAUUUGAAAAU